GAUGAACGCUGGCGGCGUGCCUAAUACAUGCAAGUCGAGCGAACGGACGAGAAGCUUGCUUCUCUGACGUUAGCGGCGGACGGGUGAGUAACAUGUGGAUAACCUACCUAUAAGACUGGGAUAACUUCGGGAAACCGGCGCUAAUACCGGAUAAUAUUUUGAACCGCAUGGUUCAAAAGUGAAAGACGGUCUUGCUGCCACUUCUCGAUGGAUCCGCGCUGCAUUAGCUAGUUGGUAAGGUAACGGCUUACCAAGGCGACGAGGCGUAGCCGACCUGCGAGGGGGAUCGGCCACACUGGAACGGAGACACGGUCCUGACGCCUGCGGGACGCAGCAGAAGCGUAUCGGCCGCAGUGGGCGAGAGCCUUACAGAGCAGCGCGGCGUGAGUGAUGAAGGUGUUCGGUGCGUAAAACUCGGUUAUGGGGUGAGAACAGAUUUGUAAUGUGCUGUGCACAGCGUGACGGUACCGGGUCAGAAAGCCACGGCUAACUACGUG
rnacentral:rRNA from 1 species